rnacentral:rRNA from 1 species
UACGGGGGGGGCAAGCGUUGUUCGGAAUUACUGGGCGUAAAGGGCUCGUAGGCGGCCAACUAAGUCAUACGUGAAAUCCCUCGGCUUAACCGGGGAACUGCGUCUGAUACUGGAUGGCUUGAGUUCGGGAGAGGGAUGCGGAAUUCCAGGUGUAGCGGUGAAAUGCGUAGAUAUUCGGAAGAACACCAGUGGCGAAGGCGACUUACUGGACGAUUGUUGACGCUGAGGUGCGAAAGCGUGGGGAGCAACAGG